rnacentral:rRNA from 1 species
GUCUUUUUGAUUAUAAUUUAAAGUCUAACCUGCCCAAUGAAUAUUAAAUGGCCGCGGUAUUUUGACCGUGCAAAGGUAGCAUAAUCAUUAGUUUUUUAAUUAAAAGCUGGAAUGAAUGGUUGGACGAGAAAAUUACUGUCUCAAUUUAAUUUAAUUAGAAUUUUAUUUUUAAGUUAAAAAGCUUAAAUAAUUUUAAAAGACGAGAAGACCCUAUAGAGUUUAAUAUUAUAAAUAUUUUUAUUUUUUAUAAUUUUUUAAAAUAUUUAUAAUAUUUUAUUGGGGUGAUAAAUAAAUUUAUUAAACUUUAUUUUUUUUUUACAUAACUUAAUGAUUAAUUGAUCCAUUAUUAGUGAUUAUAAGAUUAAAUUACCUUAGGGAUAACAGCGUAAUUUUUUUAGAGAGUUCAAAUCGAAAAAAAAGAUUGCGACCUCGAUGUUGGAUUAAAGUAAAUUUUUGGUGUAGAAGCUAAAAUAUUAAGUCUGUUCGACUUUUAAAACUUUACAUGAUCUGAGUUUAAACCGGCGUGAGCCAGGUUGGUUUCUAUCUUUAAAUAAAUAAAAUAUUUUAGUACGAAAGGACCAAAUAUUUAUAAUAAUUAUUUAUUUUUGAAUAU